GAUGAACGCUGGCGGCGUGCUUAACACAUGCAAGUCGAACGGUGAAGGCGGAGCUUGCUCUGCUGGAUCAGUGGCGAACGGGUGAGUAACACGUGAGCAAUCUGCCCCUGACUCUGGGAUAAGCGCUGGAAACGGCGUCUAAUACUGGAUACGAGCUGCGAAGGCAUCUUCAGCAACUGGAAAGAACUUCGGUCAGGGAUGAGCUCGCGGCCUAUCAGCUUGUUGGUGAGGUAACGGCUCACCAAGGCGUCGACGGGUAGCCGGCCUGAGAGGGUGACCGGCCACACUGGGACUGAGACACGGCCCAGACUCCUACGGGAGGCAGCAGUGGGGAAUAUUGCACAAUGGGCGAAAGCCUGAUGCAGCAACGCCGCGUGAGGGACGACGGCCUUCGGGUUGUAAACCUCUUUUAGCAGGGAAGAAGCGAAAGUGACGGUACCUGCAGAAAAAGCGCCGGCUAACUACGUG
rnacentral:rRNA from 1 species